CGAUCGCCGCCGGGCAGCCCCUGCGGGCCCCCAGCUGGGAGCUGCCAUAGAACCAUCACUAAGGCUGGGAAAGACAGCUAAGAUCACCUAGGCCAGCUGUCAACCCAUCACCACCACGUCUGCAAGUUCUUCUACACUUCUAGGGACGGUGAAUGUAGAGAGCGAUGAGGUUUCCCCUGAGCCUUCUCUUCUCCAGACUGAGCAAUCCCAGUUCCCUCAGCCAUUCCUCAUAAGAUUUAUGCUCCAGAGCCCACACCAGCUUUGCUGUCCUUUUCUGGACAUGCUUCAGGGCCUUGAUGUCUUCCUUGAAGUGAAGGACCUCAAAAUGAAUACAGUACUCAAGGUGCAGCUUCAUCAGUGCCAAGCAAUUACCCACUCAAAUGGCAGCAACAGAAAAUACCGGGGAUCUUAAAAAACACUCUAAACUAUGAGAUUAUUUGGGGAGAGGAUGAGUGGAUGGGCUUUGUGCUGAGAGUGUCAGCCCAGAGGUUGACUGUUGGCACAGCUGGAGGGAGGAGCUGGAGGAGCUCUGCUUCAUGGCAUGUCCCAGGAUCACCCUGAGGGUAUGCGAGAGGCUGAGGCAGACACCUGAUGAGGGCACACAAUCCUUUGUAGAGCCUGAAGAGAACCCAGCUUACGGACUGAAGGAUAAGAUUCGUGUAUGUAUGUUGUCUUAAACUGUGAAUCUGCAACCUUUGUGCAUGGGAACAGCAACUGGACAGGGAGUGGUGCUAGUUCUGGACCUGGAGAAGUAUUGCUGUGAGCUGUGGUACUGAGACAUGGCCUCGCUGAGGCGCAGGCCAUAUUCACUCCCCUGAUGCUUGUCUCUGUGCUAACAGCCAGCAGCUCUGAAUGGUGGACACACAGCUUGGGACUCCUUAUGUCCACAGCACAGCACUGCAACCACUGCCAUGUGGGGCAGAUCUCUCAAACACAGGCACACAGAUACAAAAGUGUGCCAUUUCAGAGUCAAUUCUGAAAUACUAUUUUGUCAAUCGCAAUGAAAUUCAAGAAUUCGAGUCUACCUCCUUUACAUGGGGAAAAGGAUCUCAUUGUUUAAACACUCAGAUCUCAGCCUAUAUAUAAGGUUAGCAGAUGUGCCAUGCAGAAUUUCAGUCUCUCCUCAUCCUCACCAAAGCGCACAAGCAGAUUUCAGUUUUCAGCUUCAUACCGUGCAGGCGAGUACUGCAGCAAACAACACCAUAUAUGUGCUGCUAAGACCACAGUAAGUACCAGAGUUAUGUGUAUACACAGGCACUUUUCAUAUUCAAGUAGUCAUCAGUUGAGAAUCCUGUAGUUAGAAAACCUAGACAGAGGAAUUUACACGCAGGACUGUAAUAAAUGACCUAAUUCAAAACCUUUUGCCAACUUUGUGCUUGAGGCGAAAGUGAAGAAACAACGUAGCAGGCAAAUAUGUAGUUAAUAUGAGCCUAACUUUCAUCAUGUAACACUUAUAAGUUAGUUCCAACUGUGUAGCUUUCCAAAAAAAUUUUCAUAUUUACUAAUUUUGUGUGUCCCUGUAGCUAAUACAUUUUUUUCCCCCACAGCUUUCAAUUCUUUCUUCAGACCUUCCCAGCUUCUUUGUUUUCACAAUGCAGUUUUGAAAUGGAUACAACAAAUUAAACACGUGUUAUGUGAACAGUGUUUUUGUCUGAACUGAAUUAGCCAGCUUGGAACUUCACUGAAUGGCUUUCUGAUCUUAAAUUAUGACACAAAGGGGAACACACUGUUUAAUCUAGAUUCUUAAUGUUAAUUGUGAUUUUUGAAACAUUAUUAGUUAGCCAUUUAUCUCUGAAGUUUUUUCCACAGUAUAUUCAAUGAAACAAAUCCUAUUUGCUUUCUGAAGUAGGAUUUUUCAGUUUUAAAAUCCCUCCUUGGAUGUUUUUCAUACUAUUGUACAGGAUCUUAUGAAAUCUGAUCAGCAAUGGUGGAUAUAUUUUCAUUAAAAAUAUUACUAUCACUCUCAUUACUUAUUUUCUCAAGAUCAUUGAUGCUGCAUACACAAAUUAUUUGAAAUAUAAUCCUAUGUCUUGAACUGAUUUACUCAAUUAAAAACCCAUAUUUUGA